rfam:Triticum aestivum genome assembly, contig: Triticum_aestivum_CS42_TGACv1_scaffold_194918_3AL
AUUGUACUCCCUUCGUCGGGAAAUACUUGUCGUAGAAAUAGAUACAAAUAAAUGUAUCUAGAACUAAAAUACAUCUAGAUAUAUCCAUUCCUCGGACAAGUAUUUCCGGACGAGGGAGUAUUUC